UGGGAAUUUGGACAAUGGGCGAAAGCCUGAUCCAGCAAUGCCGCGUGUGUGAAGAAGGCCUUCGGGUUGUAAAGCACUUUUGUCCGGAAAGAAAUCCUUGGCUCUAAUACAGUCGGGGGAUGACGGUACCGGAAGAAUAAGCACCGGCUAACUACGUGCCAGCAGCCGCGGUAAUACGUAGGGUGCAAGCGUUAAUCGGAAUUACUGGGCGUAAAGCGUGCGCAGGCGGUUUGCUAAGACCGAUGUGAAAUCCCCGGGCUCAACCUGGGAACUGCAUUGGUGACUGGCAGGCUAGAGUAUGGCAGAGGGGGGUAGAAUUCCACGUGUAGCAGUGAAAUGCGUAGAGAUGUGGAGGAAUACCGAUGGCGAAGGCAGCCCCCUGGCAAGUACUGACGCUCAUGCACGAAAGCGUGGGGAGCAAACNGGAUUAAUACCCUGGUAGUCCACGCCCUAAAANGAUGUCAACUAGUUGUUGGGGAUUCAUUUUCCUUAGUAACGUAGCUAACGCGUGAAGUUGACCGCC
rnacentral:rRNA from 1 species